GGAGAAGCAAGCCUUGUGCUUGAUUUUAACAGCAGAAUUUGACAGAAUCAAUACAAAAAUUCUGCACAAUUUGAAGAUCUCUCACUGAUCACUUCAUUUGGAUGCACAAACUCAUUUUAUACUCAAUGUUUCACAAGAGUAGUGUUAAGAGUACCACUGCUCUGUGAGAAAUGUGAUCACUGCAAAUAGUCUCUCACUUCAACUUGCCUAUUUAUUAAAUGGCAUCAGCUACAGGUAUAUACUGAAUAACUCCAGCUGCUUUGAAGAAAUAGGCUUUUGAAUGGUUUUGAGAGAUUAGGGGAAAUUAUUGAAAAUAUGUGGUAUAAAUGUAUCUAAUGGAGCAACUGUGCUGUCCAGUAAAAUACAUUUGAAAAUAAUUUCCUUUAGCCUUCUAAAAACUGAAAUAUAGAGCAG
rnacentral:lncRNA from 12 species